CCUACGGGGGGCAGCAGUGGGGAAUAUUGGACAAUGGGGGGAACCCUGAUCCAGCCAUGCCGCGGGUGUGAAGAAGGCCCUCGGGUUGUAAAGCACUUUCAGUGAGGAAGAACGCCUGGUGGUUAAUACCCAUCAGGAAAGACAUCACUCACAGAAGAAGCACCGGCUAACUCCGUGCCAGCAGCCGCGGUAAUACGGAGGGUGCGAGCGUUAAUCGGAAUUACUGGGCGUAAAGCGCGCGUAGGUGGCUUGAUAAGCCGGUUGUGAAAGCCCCGGGCUCAACCUGGGAACGGCAUCCGGAACUGUCAAGCUAGAGUGCAGGAGAGGAAGGUAGAAUUCCCGGUGUAGCGGUGAAAUGCGUAGAGAUCGGGAGGAAUACCAGUGGCGAAGGCGGCCUUCUGGACUGACACUGACACUGAGGUGCGAAAGCGUGGGUAGCAAACAGGAUUAGAUACCCCAGUAGUC
rnacentral:rRNA from 1 species